AUUCGACGCAACGCGCAGAACCUUACCAGCCCUUGACAUCCCGGUCGCGGACUCCAGAGACGGAGUUCUUCAGUUCGGCUGGACCGGAGACAGGUGCUGCAUGGCUGUCGUCAGCUCGUGUCGUGAGAUGUUGGGUUAAGUCCCGCAACGAGCGCAACCCCCGUCCUUAGUUGCUACCAUUUAGUUGAGCACUCUAAGGAGACUGCCGGUGAUAAGCCGCGAGGAAGGUGGGGAUGACGUCAAGUCCUCAUGGCCCUUACGGGCUGGGCUACACACGUGCUACAAUGGCGGUGACAAUGGGAAGCGAAGACGCAAGUCCUAGCAAAUC
rnacentral:rRNA from 1 species